rnacentral:tRNA from 1 species
GCCUGGCUGGCUCAGUUGGAAGAGCAUGUGAUUCUUGAUCUCAGGGUCAUGAGUUCGAGCUCCACAUCAGGCA